GCAGUUGAAUCAGCGUUGUCUGUGUAUCUGGAGCACCUUGCUACGACCUUGGGAUCUCGCGAACAAUUGGCAAUUGCUGAAUUUGCAGAUGCGCUGUUGAUCAUACCAAAGGUGCUCGCAGUAAACGCUGCUAAGGAUGCAACUGAGUUGGUAGCUAAACUAAGAGCUUACCACCACACCGCACAAACCAAGGCUGAUAAGAAGCACUAUUCAAGCAUGGGACUUGACCUUGUAAACGGAACCAUCCGUAACAAUUUGGAAGCUGGAGUGAUCGAACCAGCGAUGAGCAAAGUUAAAAUUAUCCAGCAAAGGAAAUGACACAAAAACCCGGGAGGUUCCUUCCUUCGACUCAGAUAUGUUGUCACUUCUCACAAGAGAACCGGAGAUUCAUGAACAUCCACCUCGAAUAUUCCUGGCCGUUCCUAUGUAAAAGAGUCAGUAGUGCGUUAAGGAUGUAAUUCUCUGACAAUAUAUCCUUACCUUAGAAGCCAUGUAAGAGUCCAGAACCAAGACUUGAGGACAUUGACAAACAGAAGCUACUGUUAGACUGCGAAACCAUAUGUUCUUGUAAGAGUAUGUAGGUUUAGAUCAGAUGGAAGAAGUUAUAUUAUAGGACAUAGUUUUUGAGGCCAUUUCAUAGCUUCUUACAUAUUAUAGGACAUAGUUCUUGAAGCAGUUAUACCUAUGAGGGCAUUUUAUUUAUCACUAGGGUCGGCCCGUCCUACGGGUGGGAUAAAUUUAUUUAUAGUCUAGGUUAUUUUUUAUGCAUGACUUUGUGAUUUUUGUUUUACGUUUGUAUUUGAAAGUGAUGUGUAUGAUAAUGAUUUUUGUA